ACUAUUUUGGCAGAUAAGUGCACUAGAUUUAGAAUCUAUAAAUGUAAAUUUUUGUUUACAGGUAGUA
rnacentral:tRNA from 1 species